ACGUAGGGUGCAAGCGUUAAUCGGAAUUACUGGGCGUAAAGCGUGCGCAGGCGGCUUUGCAAGACAGAUGUGAAAUCCCCGGGCUCAACCUGGGAACUGCAUUUGUGACUGCAAGGCUAGAGUACGGUAGAGGGGGAUGGAAUUCCGCGUGUAGCAGUGAAAUGCGUAGAUAUGCGGAGGAACACCGAUGGCGAAGGCAAUCCCCUGGACCUGUACUGACGCUCAUGCACGAAAGCGUGGGGAGCAAACAGG
rnacentral:rRNA from 1 species